GCCUGGGAUAGAAGCAGCUGAGAGGCUAGCCCAGUUGGCCAGUCAUGACGGGCUCAGGCCCGCUAUGCAGCACCUCUCCUGGCAGCACCGCUACUCUGCAAGACGAAGCUCCAUUUUCAUCAUCUGAUAGCAGGAACAGCAUCUGAGGACGGCGGAUGAAUUGCAAACCUGUGCAGUUACAGGCCCCGCCCAGCCCUGGCCUGCCUGCCGGGAGCCUGUGAGCCUCUCGCCGCACCGGAAGUCAGCCCCCGGGACCGAGCCUCUGACUUCCAACCAACCCCCAAGGCCGAGGGACAGGACAGGAGCCGGAGGCUGGCCCUCAGAUCCAGGGUCCUGGGGGAGCACCAGUGUCAGUGGGCCUGGUUGUACAAAUGAGUGGUGUCUCCUCUCUCCAUCCUGGUGUCUUGUUAAGGAGGGGAUAGAGAAGAUGCUGAAUAGUGGUGGUACUUUCCCAGCUCCAGCAUCAGCUCUUUUUCUCCCAGGCAGUUAACUGUCUCACAGCAGACAGGAUGCAGGUGACACUGCUGUCCCUGCAUUCAGCCACAUUCAACCCCCACCAUUCAUCCAUCCGUCUAAUGUCUGUUCAGGUUCUUCUUAGUGCCAAGCACGGUCCAGGCACUGGCUCUUAGCAAGGAACAGAGAAGGGUCCUUGCCUUCGGGGAGCCCCGGUUAAUGGAGAACCCAAAGGAAGAGGUCCAUGUGUCUAGCACAGAGCGAAGGGGCUCGGUCAGGGCGAGUCCAGAUCUGAGACCCUCAGUUCCUCUGAAAGACCUGGCGACCUGCUCACCAGGCUUCAGGCAGCCUCCUUCUCGGCCACCAUCUAGCUGGGUGACCCGGGGCCAGUUUCUCCGUGCCCAUCAGUCAUCUCAAUCCACCAGAGGAGAUGGUCCUCGGGGGUCCCACCUGCCUCCCAGGAUGGUGGCGAGACUCAGUGGCAAUUGCCUUACCCUGGUCCCGGAUACUGAUGUCUUCCUAAGAUCUGACCCUGGACUUUCCAAGGAGCCCAUGGCCACUGCAGGACUCCAGGAGGAGGAGUGUCAAGCAAUGUGGAAAAGGAGGGAGGUUCUGGGCCAGGUGGGCAGGUGAGAUGGGGUGGGAAGGGCUCCCCAAGCCACUCUCUGAGGGCAGCCUCAUCCUCUGCCUUUUCCCAUGGGAGCCUCUGAGCCAGCAUCCUGGAGACCUCGGGACACUCAGCCCCAGCCAGCACUGACAGACCUGUCCCUGUGGUGCAUGGCACAGGGGUUCAUUUAGAUGACAAGGACCCCUGACCUCCUUCCACUAGUGACGAUGACCAGGCAGGAGAGCUGGCAAAUGCCAGGGAGCCAAAAGACACAAAGAGAAGUGGCCCUUAUGGUGCUAAGAAGGGUGAAGCUUGGUUUCCCCAUCACCCCUUCAUCUCAGGUGUGUCGAGAGAAUCUGCUCACCCCUACUUCACAAUCCCAAUCCCAAUCCCUCUACAAAGAGGAGAGGGAAAGAACUCAACUCCAUCUACAGAGGGGAAGGCAGAGGUCCUGAAAGUCACCUAGAGACUCAACAUCGGCCUUCUCCUUCCCUCCCACCCACCUCCCAUAGGGUCAUCAUCUCUACCACCACCACCACCCUCAUCACCAUUUACUAGAUGGAGAAACUGAGGAUCAGCGAAAUUACUAACUUAUCCAGAAUCACACAUCUCCUUUGAGGAGGGAGAGAAGACGUGAAGCCCAGGCUGUCACUCUCUGCAAAACUUCACGAGCCGUCAAGAGAGAGAAGCACGAGGGAGGAAAGCUGGUGGGGUGCUCUCUCCUCCAUAAUGUGCCACGGAGCCCAGAGCAAAGUCUGCUGCCGGUGGAUGUGGCCGUGCUGCCUGGAGCGAGUGCGCGCGCAGAGCGGAGAGCCGGCAGGAAAAACGCUGCAGAACCAGCUGCAGAAGCAGAAGCCUGCGGAGCUUCUUUCCACGGCCUUUUCCUCCAGGCCAGCCUGUUCCACUGGAAAAACAACCUCCCCUGCCUGGGGACUUGGGGCCGGCUGGGCCACCUUCUGGUCUGUCUUCAUUCAGAUCCCAUUUCUCCCCUCCCCGGGAGGUGGGGGAGGGAGUCACACUGGGGAGGGCGAGGGUGAGGCCGAAGUCUUCAUCUGUCCCCCUUUAAGCCAAGCAAAGAAAAAUAGCCCUUUGCCAAGA